rnacentral:rRNA from 1 species
AGAGUUUGAUCCUGGCUCAGGAUGAACGCUGGCGGCGUGCUUAACACAUGCAAGUCGAGCGAUGAAGUUUCCUUCGGGAAACGGAUUAGCGGCGGACGGGUGAGUAACACGUGGGUAACCUGCCUCAUAGAGUGGAAUAGCCUUUCGAAAGGAAGAUUAAUACCGCAUAAUGUUGAAAGAUGGCAUCAUCAUUUAACCAAAGGAGCAAUCCGCUAUGAGAUGGACCCGCGGCGCAUUAGCUAGUUGGUGGGGUAACGGCCUACCAAGGCGACGAUGCGUAGCCGACCUGAGAGGGUGAUCGGCCACAUUGGGACUGAGACACGGCCCAGACUCCUACGGGAGGCAGCAGUGGGGAAUAUUGCACAAUGGGGGAAACCCUGAUGCAGCAACGCCGCGUGAGUGAUGAAGGUUUUCGGAUCGUAAAGCUCUGUCUUUGGGGAAGAUAAUGACGGUACCCAAGGAGGAAGCCACGGCUAACUACGUGCCAGCAGCCGCGGUAAUACGUAGGUGGCGAGCGUUAUCCGGAUUUACUGGGCGUAAAGGGAGCGUAGGCGGAUGAUUAAGUGGGAUGUGAAAUACCCGGGCUCAACUUGGGUGCUGCAUUCCAAACUGGUUAUCUAGAGUGCAGGAGAGGAGAGUGGAAUUCCUAGUGUAGCGGUGAAAUGCGUAGAGAUUAGGAAGAACACCAGUGGCGAAGGCGACUCUCUGGACUGUAACUGACGCUGAGGCUCGAAAGCGUGGGGAGGCAAACAGGAUUAGAUACCCUGGUAGUCCACGCCGUAAACGAUGAAAUACUAGGUGUGGGGGUUUCAACACCUCCGUGCCGCCGCUAACGCAUUAAGUAUUCCGCCUGGGGAGUACGGUCGCAAGAUUAAAACUCAAAGGAAUUGACGGGGACCGCGCACAAGUAGCGGAGCAUGUGGUUUUAAAUUCGAAGCAACGCGAAGAACCUUACCUACACUUGACAUCCCUUGCAUUACUCUUAAUCGAGGAAAUCCCUUCGGGGACAAGGUGACAGGUGGUGCAUGGUUGUCGUCAGCUCGUGUCCGUGAGAUGUUGGGUUAAGUCCCGCAACGAGGCGCAACCCUUGUCGUUAGUUACUACCCAUUAAGUUGAGGACUCUAGCGAGACUGCUUGGGUUAACCAGGAGGAAGGUGGGGAUGACGUCCAAAUCAUCAUGCCCCCUUAUGUGUAGGGCUAGCACACGUGCUACAAUGGCUGGUACAGAGAGAUGCAAUACCGCGAGGUGGAGCCAAACUUAAAAACCAGUCUCAGUUCGGAUUGUAGGCUGAAACUCGCCUACAUGAAGCUGGAGUUACUAGUAAUCGCGAAUCAGAAAUGUCGCGGUGAAUACGUUCCCGGUCUUGUACACACCGCCCGUCACACCAUGAGAGUUGGCAAUACCGAAGUCCGUGAGCUAACCGCAAGGAGGCAGCGGCCGAAGGUAGGG